GCGAGUGUAGCUCAGUUGGUUAGAGCACCGUGCUGAUAACGCGGGGGUCGUUGGUUCGAACCCAACCAUUCGCACCA
rnacentral:tRNA from 1 species